UACGUAGGGCGCAAGCGUUGUCCGGAAUUAUUGGGCGUAAAGGGCUCGUAGGCGGUCUGUUGCGUCAGGAGUGAAAACUCGGGGCUUAACCCCGAGCCUGCUUCUGAUACGGGCAGACUAGAGGUAUGCAGGGGAGAACGGAAUUCCUGGUGUAGCGGUGAAAUGCGCAGAUAUCAGGAGGAACACCGGUGGCGAAGGCGGUUCUCUGGGCCAUUACUGACGCUGAGGAGCGAAAGCGUGGGGAGCGAACAGG
rnacentral:rRNA from 1 species